rnacentral:tRNA from 1 species
UGCUGGAUAGAGCAGCGGCCAGCUCGCCGGGCCCAUAACCCGGAGGUCGGCGGUUCGAAUCCGUCUCCAGCAUCCA